GAAUAUUUCUACUAUGGGUUUGAUCAUAUGGACUACAAUUAUAGUAGCUAUAGCCAUAUACAUAUUCCAUAAAUUACUAAACAUCAACAACAAAAAAAAACUUCCACCAGGUCCAUGGGGACUUCCUAUUUUAGGACAUCUUCACUUAAUAGGCAAAAAUCCCCACCAAGAUUUUUACAAAUUAGCCAAAAAGUAUGGCCCUUUCAUGCACAUACAACUUGGAUUAGUACCAACAAUUGUUGUCUCAUCCCCUAAUACAAUUGAAAAAGUUUUGAAAACUUAUGAUCAUGUAUUUGCUAGUAGGCCUCAUCAUGAAGCCUCACAACAUGUUUGUUAUGGUCAAAGGAACUUGAUUUUCUCUAAAUAUGGUCCUUAUUGGAGGAACAUGAGAAAAUUGACUACUAUGAACCUUGUGACUAGUCAAAAGAUUAACUCAUAUCAACCUUCAAGAAAGGAAGAAGUUUCACUUAUGGUUAAAUCAAUUAAACAUGUUGCUGAUCAUAAUGAUCAACAACAUGUUGUUGCUGUUGAUCUUAGUGCUAAUGUUUCGUCAUUGAAUGCGAAUUUGAGUUGUUUAAUGGUUUUUGGGAAAAAGUUUAUGGAUGACGAUUUGGAUAAAAGGGGUUUUAAAUCAUUAGUUCAAGAAGUUGUACAUUUAGCUGCAACACCGAAUCUUGGUGAUUUUUUUCCUUAUCUUGGUGUUUUGGAUCUUCAGGGGAUUACUAGUAGGCUAAAGACACUUUCCAAGGUUUUUGAUGAGUUCCUUGAGAAGAUUAUUGAUGAACAUGUUGAGUCUAAGGAACAGAGGGAAACUAAGGAUUUUGUUGAUACCAUGAUGGAUAUUAUGCAAUCUGGUGAGGCUGGAUUCGAGUUUGAUUGACGCCAUGUUAAAGCUGUCCUAUUGGACAUGCUUAUGGCUUCAAUGGACACUUCAGCAACAUCAGUAGAAUGGAUACUCACUGAGCUACUUAGGCAUCCUCAUGUCAUGAAGAAACUACAAAAAGAAUUGGAACAAGUUGUAGGCCUUGAUAGAAUGGUAGAAGAAUCUGACUUAGAAAAUUUGAGUUACUUAGACAUGGUGAUCAAGGAAGCCCUGAGGCUGCAUUCUGCUGCACUAUUACUAAUUCAUGAGUCCAUAGAAGACUGUGUUGUUGAUGGCUUCUUCGUGCAAAAGGGAUCGAGGAUUGUUGUCAAUGUAUAUGCAGCUCAAAGGGAUCCUAAUGCUUGGCCAGAACCAGACAAGUUUUUGCCAGAGAGAUUUGUUGAGAGCAGUGUAGAUCUUCGUAGACACGACUUUCAACUUUUACCAUUUGGUUCUGGUAGAAGAAGUUGCCCUGGUAUGCAAUUGGGAAUCAUAAUUGUUCGCUUGUGGUUGCGCAGUUGGUACAUUGCUUUGAUUGGGAACUACCAAAUGGUAUGCAGCCUAGUGAAUUGGACAUGAGUGAGCAAUUUGGAGUAGUAACUUGUAGAGCAAAGCAUCUAAUGGCAAUUCCUACUUAUAGACUCCAACUAUAGCUUAUAUAAAUUAAGCAUUUUUUCUUGUUAGCUACUAAUUACUUGUUUAAGGGAUCUGAAAGUUGUGUCAAUAUUCAAUCAAAGUCUAGUGAUGUAUCUGAUGGUGAUGGUGAUUUGCAUGAAAGAUGCAUUUUUUUCAUGUUAUUGAAAGGGAUAAGACAUAAUCAAAAACACAUCUAAAUUAUGGUGAUAUUUUCAUUCAA